rnacentral:rRNA from 1 species
UACGUAGGGGGCUAGCGUUGUUCGGAAUCAUUGGGCGUAAAGCGCGUGUAGGCGGUCCGGUAAGUCCGCUGUGAAAGUCGGGGGCUCAACCCUCGGAUGCCGGUGGAUACUGUCGGGCUUGAGUACGGAAGAGGCGAGUGGAAUUCCUGGUGGUAGCGGUGAAAUGCGCAGAUAUCAGGAGGAACACCAAUUGCGAAGGCAGCUCGCUGGGACGUUACUGACGCUGAGACGCGAAAGCGUGGGGAGCAAACAGG